CAAGCCCUAGGGGUGUUACACACCAAAGUGCAAAUUUGGAGACGCACCCAGAAAGGUGCCGGGGCU
rnacentral:tRNA from 1 species